UACGAAGGGGGCAAGCGUUGUUCGGAAUUACUGGGCGUAAAGGGCGCGUAGGCGGCCCGCUAAGUCGAACGUGAAAUCCCCGAGCUCAACUCGGGAACUGCGUCCGAUACUGGCGGGCUUGAAUCCGGGAGAGGGAUGCGGAAUUCCAGGUGUAGCGGUGAAAUGCGUAGAUAUCUGGAGGAACACCGGUGGCGAAGGCGCAUCCUGGACCGGCAUUGACGCUGAGGCGCGAAAGCUAGGGGAGCAAACGGG
rnacentral:rRNA from 1 species